GAUGAACGCUGGCGGCGUGCCUAAUACAUGCAAGUCGAGCGAACGGAUGAGGAGCUUGCUCCUCUGACGUUAGCGGCGGACGGGUGAGUAACACGUGGAUAACCUACCUAUAAGACUGGGAUAACUUCGGGAAACCGGAGCUAAUACCGGAUAAUAUAUUGAACCGCAUGGUUCAAUAGUGAAAGACGGUUUUGCUGUCACUUAUAGAUGGAUCCGCGCCGCAUUAGCUAGUUGGUAAGGUAACGGCUUACCAAGGCAACGAUGAGUAGCCGACCUGAGAGGGUGAUCGGCCACACUGGAACUGAGACACGGUCCAGACUCCUACGGGAGGCAGCAGUAGGGAAUCUUCCGCAAUGGGCGAAAGCCUGACGGAGCAACGCCGCGUGAGUGAUGAAGGUCUUCGGAUCGUAAAACUCUGUUAUUAGGGAAGAACAAAUGUGUAAGUAACUAUGCACGUCUUGACGGUACCUAAUCAGAAAGCCACGGCUAACUACGUG
rnacentral:rRNA from 1 species